GCACUAAUAGGUUCUGUGAUUUCUAUCUACAGCUGUUACCUGCACCAAAAUCAAGAGACUACAGUGACUGAUACAAAGGUUUUGUUUUGGAAGGCAUAGGAAUGAAAGAUAAAGAAGCAAAGAACUGAAGAAAAAAUUUUUUACUUCCGUUUGGAAACUCUGCAUUGGGUGAUGAGCAUGACUGCAGCCAUCUUCCCCAGAAUUGUGAAAUGAAUCAAGUUCGUGAACCAAGGUACAAACUACAGUACCUGUUGGUAUUUGUAUGUC
rnacentral:lncRNA from 1 species